UCCUGGGCAGAGAGAAAGGGAGGAGAGAGAUGAUGUAGGGAGUGUGUUCGCUUUUCUUACAGCAUUUCCCUUCUUUGAGAAUCCGCUCCAUCUGGGGUUCAAGCAACCAAAACUCUGUUGGACGGGAACUUCCAGCUGUUCCAUUGCCAAGAUGUACAUUUCUCAAUCACACCCUUCUUCCUACCAAAGAAUGGCCACGUAAUCAAGUGAUAGUCCAUUGAUGAUAUUGACACCUGGCUGAGAUGUCAAUUUGCCUUUUGUCUCUGAGGAACUGGUCUGUGCUUGCUUUUCAAAACUUAGAACAUAUUUCAGCAAUGUCAUAUAGUAGAAUCUUGUAAUUUUACAUACAGUGUUGCCACACAUGUUUUACCAGGACAAUAAUGUUCAGAAAAUUAUGAGUUUUCUAAUGAUACCUCACAAGGCAUACUUUGAACAAAAUUUAUCAUAGUCUUGUAAAAGAAUUAACAUAAGGGGACAGACUGUCACAAUAUGUUCCUCUCAGUACUAAGUAAAUGUACAUAAUCCUUUGGCUAAUCUUGAUGGUACUUGUAGGAUGUCCUAAUAUCUAUAGUUCAUCCUUAUAAUUCCCCUUCCCAAUUUGCAUCAUCCUUACGGCAGCAUCAAGUGCAAUUUACCAUCUCACAUCACACCACCUGCAACAUAACAUCUCCUUGUCCUGUGCCCUCAAUCCAAGCAAUAAUCACACUGAGUCAAAACCAUCCCUGGUGUAAGCUCUAGUUUUGGUGGAGUUACACUAUGGAUGAAUUUCACCCACUCUGUCUUGAGCAAAGGGUAUGCCUAUUCGUAGAGGAAAUGCUUAUAAGCAGUAGUAUUGUACAUAUAAGUCUUUAGCCUCUUUAAAAGGAUUUUAACGUGCACAGUUCACUAAUCAGGGUUUGUUACCAUACCAACAGUUAAUCACGUGGACAGAUGCCCAUCGUGCCUCAGGAAUAGUGUGCUGUCUUAAAGCCAUAGCCCAAGAUUUCUCAGUAACUUUGAUGAUGUCUCUCUGUAGCUUAGCUAAAAUUGGAUUUAUUUUAAAAGAAAUAAGGAGGUCUGGCCAGCAAAGAGCCUUUCAUAAACUAAGGCCCCGAUCCUGCAACUGGAUCCACGUGAGAGGACAUCUACACGGAACCUCCUGCCUUCAGUGGGACUCUGGGCAGGCACAGAGAUGAACACAGGUGGAGUCCGUGUCAGGAUCAGAGCCUAAAUCGGCUGAGAUUGUGAGAUUUAAAUGGUCUCCAUGAUUUAGAUGGGGAGGGGAGUGGUUCCCCCUCUCAAGAACCUUUCCCUUAUAGAUGCUAUAGAUCACCAUCAUUUUUAAUUUUCUUGGGUAUGCUAUAAGCAUGUAAGGAAAACCUUCAUGGACUUCCAUAACGAAUUUAAUUAAAGGGAGCCUGGCUCUAGACAGAACAAGAUCAAAAUGGAGUAAAUGGCUUCAGAAUUUGACCCGGUAUGACGACAGAAGUAAUGGAAGCCAGAUCUGAUGUACUGGUAGCAGAUGGCAGUUAAUGCAGUGCAUUUAAAGUCUAGGCCUAAAUGCUGCUUGAAAUGCUUUAAACGGAUGAUUAAAUACAAGUUGUUGCCUGCAUUAGCGGAAUCCUUCCUGCUCGGUUUGGGUUAGAUACAGGAAUCAACAUGAAAAGAGGAGCUGUUAGAAGACAGUUGUGCAAAAUCUGAAUGAAACAGUACACUAAAUAGCCAUCUUGAGCCCAAUCCAGUUGAAAUCAAUGGCAAAAAUCCCACAGAUACCAGCUGGAUCCUCAGCUAAUGUAAAUGGGCAUACUUCCACUGACUCCUAUGGACCUGUUUCCAUUUACACCAGCUAACUAAGAUCUGGUCCAGUGGGAGCCGGAGCAGGCGCCUAAUUGGUGCUGAAAAGCCUCAGCUCCCAGUGACAGUCAUGGGAAUUAAGGGCACACAGAAGCUUGGGGGAGGCAUUUCGCUCCUUUCAAAAUUGGACCCUUUUCCAGGGGGGACUGGGGCCUUGGUCUGGCAUCCCCUCCUAUGUACUAACAUUGCAGGCUUCACAAAAGCACUUGUACAUCAGGCGACUAUAUGGGGAGGGUGGAAUUGGGGAUGCACCCUUCAGAUUUGAAUACAAAUCAGACGCUGUGAACGUCUAUGUUUGUGAUAUUCGUUCUCUUUCAAUUCCGCAUCUAGCUUUAAAUUAACAUGGAAUAAAGCAUGGCAGCUUGAGGUAUUAAUUAAAAAAAAAAUCAGAGUAUGGGCCAUCAACCGUUUUAAAAAAACCACAUUAUUUAAGAUCUGAAAUUUGUCUCAGUGCUUACAAUUGAACCACACUGUUCUUCUGCUUACAUCAGAUUAUGAUAACCAGCCCAUGAUAAGUAAAUAGCACUGCAUUAUGCAGUGAUACAGUAUGUGUAUUAUUGGUAACAAUGCAUUACAGCUUUCCAAAACAACGGUUAUUUCAUUCUCUUCCAGCCCUGCAUCAUUUGUACUUAAAGGGCCAGAAUGCUGGCAGUGGAGUCACUCCAGUUUUACACUGGUGUAACUGAGAGCAGAAAUUGUCUCCGGAUUGUGUAAUGAUUUUUCGGAGAGCAAGGCACUGACUGGAAACUUCUCCCAGGCUGUCCCUUCCAUGUGAUUCAACCGAGACCCACAGGGACUGAACUCUGGAGGACCUAAUUCAGCAAGAUGCUUAAACUUACUGAAUCAGGGCCUAAUAGAGGGCCUUUCAGCAGAGCUGCAAGGAAGGGUAAGACUAAUGCCUUCAAGAGAAAUAGACUGAUACUGCCAGUACCCAGCCCACAAAUAAUUCAAAACCUUGGGAAAGCACUUUUGUUUGAAGCAUGCUGUGCUCCGACACCAAAAGACAUGACAUAAAUACCUCGAUAGAUGGCUGAUAUAUAGUAGAAUGAUCUGUCUACAACUUCUGCAGAUGAUGUAUCAUAUGUGCCUGAAAUAUCUUAUUUUCCCUCCUAGACAGCACAACACAAGUUUAUUUUCUAAAGGGAAACAAACAGCUGCCUUCGAAUAUAGAAAUAUUUAAAGCGAUUCUCAAAAUGUACUGUUUGUGAAGUACCAUUUCAUCUGGCCUUUUGUAAUCCAAAUGAAUGCCCCUCAGAUUUAGGAAACAAAUCAUGGGCAUAUGUUCUCUGAAAAGACAGCAGAUGUUUUAACCAAAAUAAUGCACAUGUACCAGCUCCUAGGUUCUCCUAGCAAGUCUAGACACUGACAGGGAUUCUCCCGAGGCCAUCAGGAAAUCAAACACCCAGAGGUGGCUCCUUAUUCAGGUGGCAAAAUAUCAGCAAGGGCUCUUAAAUGAACAGAAUUCUCCAUGUACACUGUAAUGAUUGAUGUCUGUCUAACCACAGAAACAGAUCUUCAAACCACUUGAACAAGUAAUUCCCAGGUCACAUGUACAUGAUAACCAUUUCCCAACUUCCAUCCUCCCUUUAUCUUUUCUGAUCAAACAGACUUGGACUGAGGGAGCAAACGGAUUGGAUGACACAAAAGUUCAGCGGUGGAAUUAAGUGACUAUGCUUGUGUUCAGGAUUGACCAAAAUAAAAUGGCAAGGUGCAAAGUGUGUGAUUUAGUGUCAUGUACACUUGUCUCUAGUGAUACAUCUCACAACCUUCAGCUGCAUGCCUCACAAUGCACGCAGCGUGUUUGUAUAAGAACAUGGUAACAAAAUAACUGUGCCAUACAGUGCUAAUUAUACAAUCCAUUGCUAAUGUACGUAUGUGAAAGAAAACAAGAGGAUCAACAGCACCCAUGAGUAAGUGACAGUUCAGUGAACUCUGAUCCCAGUGUUUGAUGGGUUGAGAGAACUAGACUCCUAUAGCCUUUACUUAUACAAGUAUCAGCUGAGCUUGUUGCCUGAAUGAGCUUGCAAUAUGAGGCCCUAAGAGACUAUAAUAUCAUUCUUGUCUACCUAAAGGCAAGGGACACAAAACACUGGUGACCAGAUCCUCAUCUGGGAUAAAUCAGUAUAGUUCUGCUCACUUCAAAGGAGGUACACUGAUUUAUAACCUCCGAAAAUCUGGCCCUGUGCUAUUUUCAGCUAAAGUACUUCAGUUCACACAGGAGAGCGUAGCCACAAAGAACUAGCAAUAUUUUUAAGUAAUAAAACACAAGAAGCAGUACGACUGUUUGGAGCUAUUCCAUAAGUUAGGUGCACUGUAAGGUACAAAGCUGAAGGUCAAGUGAGUUCAACUUGUCUGAGAACAGCAACAAAUUCCUAGAAACUGGGUGGCGAGAUGUCUGUUGUUGAACUGAUAUUGCCACGAAAAAAAUAAAUAAAGAAGGAAAGAUUUUUUUAGCUGCAUAUUUAAUCUAUUUACACACUUGGGAUUGAUGACUCAACAUUCCACUAGGGAAUAGGGAUCCCAUCACUUAACAAUCUCCAGCUGUUUCCCACCUGUAAUAUAGCGUUUAUCAUGCUUUGAGAUCUAUAGAUGAAAAGUG